GGGGCUGGAGAAGGUCCCAAGGGUUUGGCUGUUCGCCAAUUAAAGCGGUACGCGAGCUGGGUUCAGAACGUCGUAAGACAGUUCGGUCCUUAUCCACUGUGGGCGUAGGAAAUUUGAGGAGAACAUUCCUUAGUACGAGAGGACCGGGAAUGACGUACCUCUGGUGUACCAGUUGUUCCGCCAGGAGCAUCGCUGGGUAGCUAUGUACGGAAUGGAUAAGCGCUGAAAGCAUCUAAGCGCCAAGCCGUCUCCAAGACAAGAUUUCCCUUCAGUCGCAAGACUGACUAAAGACCCCCGGAAGACUACCGGGUUGAUAGGUUGGAGGUGUAAGUCCAGUGAUGGAUUCAGCUGACCAAUACUAAUCGGUCGUGAGGCUUGAUCAU
rnacentral:ncRNA from 1 species